CGGCAGUCAAGGAAUCACUGUUUCCUUUCAAACUGACAAGGAAGAAUACUUUACAUUGGAAUCAUCUGCAGUUGCCGGAGGUUUUGUCGUCUAUGAUUCGCCUGCUGCCAGCUUCUCAUCCAGCAGAAGUCCAUUUUCAUCCCAAGGUUCACAUUCAUGCCUGACAGAUCCUCAUCAUUCUCCUGACAACACAUAUGGAUCUCCAAUGAGUGGAUCUUCAUCUGCUGAUGAUGACAAUGUACUAAUGAGGCAGAAAUUAAGGGAACUGGAAUUUUUGUUACUGGGGUCUGAAUCAGACAUUACAAAAAACUGUGAUUUCUGCUUCCAUCAAGCUGAUCGAUUAGCAAGUUGGGACUGGAACCAAAUGGUAGAAAUGAUCCCUAGGUUAGACAUAAAACAGGUGCUCUUUGCCUGUGCGCAGUCUGUAUCUGAUGGUGAUAUACAAAGAGCUGCAGGUUUAAUGCAUGUGUUGGAGCAAAUGGUUUCAGUCUCUGGGGAGCCAAUGCAGCGUUUGGGAGCUUACAUGUUGGAAGGGCUCAGAGCUAGGGUGGAACUCUCAGGAAGUAAAAUCUACAGAGCCUUGAAGUGUGAUGCACCACUGAGCUCAGAUCUGAUGACUUACAUGGGUAUUCUCU
rnacentral:misc_RNA from 1 species